CGAAAGUUAGAGGUUCGAAGGCGAUCAGAUACCGCCCUAGUUCUAACCAUAAACGAUGCCAGCCAGCGAUCCGGCUGUGUUCCUCAAAUGACACGCCGGGCAGCUUCCGGGAAACCAAAGCUUUUGGGUUCCGGGGGAAGUAUGGUUGCAAAGCUGAAACUUAAAGGAAUUGACGGAGGGGCACCACCAGACGUGGAUGUUGCGGUUCAAUUUGACUCAACGCAGCAAAUCCUACCAGGCCAGGACACAGGAAGGAUUGACAGAUUGAGAGCUCUUUCUUGAUUCUGUGGGUGGUGGUGCAUGGCCGUUCCUGGUUCGUGGAGCGAUUUGUCUUGUUUAUUCUGAUAACGGACGAGAUUCUAGCCUACUAAAUAGACGCUUCGAUCCUUCGAGUCGAGCGUUCUUCUUAGAGGGACAGGCGAUGUUUAGUCGCACGAGGCAGAGCAAUAACAGGUCUGUAAUGCCCUUAGAUGUCCUGGGCCACACGCGUCCUACAUUGAAGGAAUCAACGUGUGCUUUCCCUGUCCGAAGGGACUGGGUAACCCGUUGAACCUCCUUCGUGCUGGGGAUAGGAAAUUGUAAUUAUUUUCCUUGAACGAGGAACUUCUAGUAAGCGCGAGUCAUCAUCUCGGGUUGAUUAGGUCCCUGCCCCUUGUCCACACCGCCCGUCGCUAUUACCGAUUGAAUGAUUUAGUGAGGUCUUCGGACUGGCGCUCGGAUUGGCCCUCGGGUCGAGCCGGCGUGCCGGAAAGAUGACCGAACUUGACCAUUUAGAGGAAAUAAAAGUCGUAACAAG
rnacentral:rRNA from 1 species